UACGAAGGGGGCUAGCGUUGCUCGGAAUCACUGGGCGUAAAGGGUGCGUAGGCGGGUCUUUAAGUCAGGGGUGAAAUCCUGGAGCUCAACUCCAGAACUGCCUUUGAUACUGGCAACCUUGAGUCCAGGAGAGGUGAGUGGAACUGCGAGUGUAGAGGUGAAAUUCGUAGAUAUUCGCAAGAACACCAGUGGCGAAGGCGGCUCACUGGCCCGGUACUGACGCUGAGGUGCGAAAGCGUGGGGAGCAAACAGG
rnacentral:rRNA from 1 species